UCAGGUCUAAAAUAUCAAGCUCAGCAACUCACUCAAGAGCCAACCCUCACAAACCUUCCUAAAAACUAAAAGAGCUAUUACUGAGUCUCAGCGAAUCUUGCCAUGAUCAGCUCUUCCCAGAAGAGAAGGAAGACCAAGGAAAUGAUUUGCUCAGGAUGAGGAAUGAAGAUGGCCAUCUUGAGCUCAAACAAACAGAAGUCCUCUGAUGAUCUCAUCAGCCAAAUGAGGGGUUUUGACCAAGUGAUGCUCUUGAAAGGAGUGAAAGAAGAGGAUGUGGUAAAUUGUCUUCAGAGAAAAAGCUUCUCAAAAGAUCUUAAAACAGCUUGAAGAAUGGUAAGUGUACAGUACUACAAGGGUCAUAGUUGCUCACACUGCUAAAAUCACACAGAACAUAAGCUGAGCUCUCUGUCCAUUAAACAACUUCAUCUGGAUUGUUUGUUUCAUUUUGACCAGGUCUGGGAUCUUAGGACUGAGAGAUCCUCUGGCUGAGGACAAGCUACACCACAUCAGUGCUGGAUAUCAGCCACAAACUGUUUCCAGACAGGAGAGAAGAAGAUCAUGAUGGGGAGAUGAAACCAGUUUAGAUGUGAUGAUGGGAAUCAUUAUUUUCUGGAACAGUAUCUCAUGUCUUAUAUGUAUCACAUGAUCUGUAUCACAGUUGACUGGAUGGGACUGUGUGACUUUUAAGGACAUUUCAUCACUCAUCUGUGUGAACUGAUUUAUAUAUGAGGUUAAUGUAUUUUUGAUGAUAAUUAUUUUCAUUGAAUCUUAUUCGUCUUGAUGCUACUUUAUCAACUUUAUAGUCUAUGCUUCAAUAAAAUGAAAAUGGUGAA